GCAAACUUGGUCAUUUAGAGGAAGUAAAAGUCGUAACAAGGUUUCCGUAGGUGAACCUGCGGAAGGAUCAUUAAUGAAUAAACUUGGUCAAGCUGUUGCUGGCUCUUCGGAGCAUGUGCACGCUUGCCACCAAUUUUAACCACCUGUGCACCUUUUGUAGACUGAAAAUGUUUCUCGAGGCAACUCGGAUUGAGAACUGCUGCGCGCAAGCCAGCUGUUCUUGUGUUUCUCAGUCUAUGUUUUCACAUACCCCUUAUGUAUGUAUCUGAAUGUAUUGCUAGGCCUUAGCGCCUUUAAAAACAAAUACAACUUUCAACAACGGAUCUCUUGGCUCUCGCAUCGAUGAAGAACGCAGC
rnacentral:misc_RNA from 1 species